rnacentral:rRNA from 1 species
UACGGGGGGGGCAAGCGUUGUUCGGAAUUACUGGGCGUAAAGAGCUCGUAGGCGGCCUGUCGCGUCGACCGUGAAAACCCGCAGCUCAACUGCGGGCUUGCGGUCGAUACGGGCAGGCUGGAGUUCGGUAGGGGAGACUGGAAUUCCUGGUGUAGCGGUGAAAUGCGCAGAUAUCAGGAGGAACACCGGUGGCGAAGGCGGGUCUCUGGGCCGAUACUGACGCUGAGGAGCGAAAGCGUGGGGAGCGAACAGG